rnacentral:rRNA from 1 species
GACGAACGCUGGCGGCGUGCUUAACACAUGCAAGUCGAACGAAGUGGCGAACGGGUGAGUAACGCGUAAUCAACCUGCCCUUCAGAGGGGGACAACAGUUGGAAACGACUGCUAAUACCGCAUACUGAAGGUGGGGAUGGCGUCUGAUUAGGUAGUUGGGGGGGUAAGGGCCCACCAAGGCGAUGAUCAGUAGCCGGUCCGAGAGGAUGAACCGCCAAAAUGGGACUGGGAAACGGCCCAGACUCCUACGGGAGGCAGCAGUGGGGAAACUUCCGGAAAGGACGAAAGUCUGACGGAGCAAAGCCGCGUGAGUGAUGACGGCCUUCGGGUUGUAAAGCUCUGUUAAUCGGGACGCGGUACCGGAAUAGAAAGCCACGGCUAACUACGUGCCAGCAGCCGCGGUAAUUC